AAUCAACUUAAAAUAAAUUAUGAUAAUUAUAAACGUAAAUGGAAGUUCGUAAGAAUAUGUCAUGACCCCAUCUCCCCAUCUAGGGUCAUGAUCGACACGAGGAUGAAGAAAACAUGACCUUUUUAAUCCAAGCAAGCCUUACUUGUCGAGCAUGCCUAUACACAAAACCAUCACAAGCGUCUUUGAAUGUCCAUAGACUUCAUCUAGAAGAAAGUAUAAAUGUACUUUCAUUCAUCACAAACACCUAACUCAAGUUGGCUUUAAGAUAUAUCAAUCAUAACAUUGUCCAUUUUACAUACUCAUUAGCUCACAUGGGCUUUCGGGCCAUUACACUAAGUCACAUGUCAUACAUAUACAUGUACAUGUUUAUACACAUGUGCAUCAAAGUAUGUUUCCAUGCUUGGCUACAAAAUGGAAGUGUAAACCAACGACCAUAAUUACAUGACCAAAAUAGACUCAUUAACGAAACACAACGUGAGAUAGGUGGGCUCCAUAGUCGACUGCUAGGCAUACCUAUUAAACAAGACUCGAGGAUCCUUCCUCAGAUGGUGAUCCGAGCUAAGUCAUGUAUUUGAACACAAAAAACACAAGAUUUGAAAAUGUGAGUAAAACUUAAUGAGUGAAAAAUGUAAAGUAACAAACUAAGCAUGCU
rnacentral:lncRNA from 1 species